UGCACGGUGUUACAGUUGGUAGCACUGUUGCCUUGCAGUAAGAAGGUCCUGGGUUCAAUUCCUGGGUUCAAUUCCCGGCGGGGGUCUUUCUGCAU